rnacentral:rRNA from 1 species
UGGGAACGUGCCUUUUGGUUCGGAACAACCCAGGGAAACUUGGGCUAAUACCGGAUAAGCCCUUACGGGGAAAGAUUUAUCGCCAAAAGAUCGGCCCGCGUCUGAUUAGCUAGUUAGUAAGGUAAUGGCCUACCAAGGCUACGAUCAGUAGCUGGUCUGAGAGGAUGAUCAGCCACAUUGGGACUGAGACACGGCCCAGACUCCUACGGGAGGCAG